UUAGGACAAGUGUGACUUAUUUGAAAUUUAAAAAAAUAUAUUUCAACGGCUACAUUCCUCCUCCGAUUCUUCUGUUCUCGCCUCUCUUUUUCCUUCCGGUUAAUCAAUCACUAUGCCGUAGCUGUUCUUGUUCAAUCUCAGUUGUCUUCUUCUCUAAUGUGAAAGACUUGACCCUGGCAUAUUUUCUUACUUCACAUCUACCAUAUUCUGGUCAAGGGAAGGAAGUAUGUGAUGCUGUAAUGCCAAAAUGCCUUGCCCCGCAGGUGGAAAGGGUGUUUCUUUAUCUUUGGCAUUGUCAAAUGCCAUAACAAACCUUGUUGGCAAGUUAAGUUGAUCUCUCUAGUUCCUGUAAUGUUGAUAAAAAUAUAUUAUUGAAGACAGUUUCUUGAUGAGAGAAUAAUAUCGAUUAUGAAGGCCUCCAAACUUGUAUAAAUGCAUCUCUAUUUGUUAAUAUGGUUUGCAAAUUAUCAAAUAUUCUUUUUCCUUGCAAGAUAUUAACUGCGCUGGUAAAUUUACCUAUCUUUUUUUCUCUUCUUCCUCAUGAACAAUUUACCGUUCUUGCAAGAUAUUAAUAUGCUUCUCUUUUUGAUGAACAAUGGCACCACGAACCCCAUGUCAGUAGUAGGGAAAGUGGGGUGGAGAAAAGAAAUCAAACAGUGGAUCGAACAUGGAGGGAAGUUAUAGUUUCUGGACAGCAAUAUUCAGAGAAAGAAGCGGACAUUUUGACAGGCAUGACAGAUAUUGACGCAAUUCCGUAAAAUUUGGAUUUGAAAUUCAUUUUUUGUGACACUGUGUUGUAUAAUAAUAGGAUGUAUAUUGAUAAUAAUAAAAGAUUAAUAUUUUUUGGGUUUGGGAUGAAGAAGACUGCUGGAAUUGCCAAGUCUCUUCCUCUA